AUUGAACGCUGGCGGCAGGCCUAACACAUGCAAGUCGAGCGAGCGGCGGACGGGUGAGUAAUGUCUGGGAAACUGCCUGAUGGAGGGGGAUAACUACUGGAAACGGUAGCUAAUACCGCAUACCAUCAGAUGUGCCCAGGGGGGAUUAGCUAGUAGGUGGGGUAACGGCUCACCUAGGCGACGAUCCCUAGCUGGUUUGAGAGGAUGACCAGCCACACUGGAACUGAGACACGGUCCAGACGCCGACGGGAGGCAGCAGUGGGGAAUAUUGCACAAGGGGCGCAAGCCUGAUGCAGCCAUGCCGCGUGUGUGAAGAAGGCCUUCGGUUUUUAAAGUACUUUCAGCGGGGAGGCGUUACCCGCAGAAGAAGCACCGGCUAACUCCGUGCCAGCAGCCGCGGUAAUAC
rnacentral:rRNA from 1 species